AGGGGUGCCCGGCUGUAGGUCACAGCAAUUUUUGACCCUCUGGCUCACCAGGACUCGUCCCUGUCCUGCAGAGCCCAGCAGGACAGAGGCUCGGUGCUUGCUCUGAGUGACCGCAGGGAGCUGUAGGAUGGUUCAGGGAGGGGACUGGAUGUCUGGAUGUCUCCGACACGCAUCCUAUGGUGCCUGAAAUCUGGCCAGGAGCCGUGCUGGGACCCCAGGCACCAGCCCAAGCUGCCCAGCACAGCCACAUCCCGCAGCACAGGGGUUCAGAGUGGGCACAGCACCGUCAGACCUCCUCUAACCCACCCCUAUCUUUGUGGCUGCAGCCAGAGAGCCCGAGCGCCGCGAAGGAUGCGGCACCCGCACCCCCAAAACCUGAGCCCCCGAAGAGCCCCGAACCGCCCCCGGGGACAGGGAAGAGCCCGGAGCCGGUGCUGAACGGGGCCGCCAACGGGCCCGAGGGUCCCGCAGCGGGCACCGAGGCGCAGGGGGACGACGGGCAGGGCCUGUCCCGCCGCAGGGUGGUGCGGGUGGUGCGCAAGGUGGUGCGCAAAGUCCUGCCGGGGGAGGAUGCCGGCGGUGCCAGGGAGCCGGCGCGAGACGUCAAGUCUCCCGAGCCCGUGCCACCCCCCAGAAAAGAGGAGCCAGGUCCCCCUGCGCCCCCACCACCGCCCCCCGCUGUGCCGGCCGCCCCCGCCAAGCCGGAGCCCAAAGAUGAGAUCUCAGCGGGGCUCAAAACCCUCAUGGCCAAGGGCAAAACCAAAGAGCACCGCCCGCGGCUCCGGCUGGGAGACAGGCGAGAGGAGAAGUCCCCCGGGCCCUCGGGAGGCAAAGGAGCCUCUGCACCAGGCUCCCCACCUGCUGCGGGGGACACAAAGCCAUCUGUGUCCCCGGGUGCCAAAGCCAAGCCGGAGCCUCUGGCGCAGCCUUCGGGAGGCAAAGCGGAGCCGCCAAAGGCACCCGCCCCCAAGCCCACCGCCCUGGAGAGGCACAAGAAGCAGCAGCCCGGCGAGAAGCGACAGACCCCCGCGAAAACCACCCUGGGACCCCCCCAGCAGGUGCGUGGGAGCAGGGACCCGGGAUUUGUGGUGCCAGGGGCCUGCCAGGGCUGUCCAGGGCAGUGCUGGGUGCCUGCGGGUGCCCCAGCACAGGUGCAGGUG
rnacentral:lncRNA from 1 species